CCUACGGGUGGCAGCAGUGAGGAAUAUUGGUCAAUGGCCGGAAGGCUGAACCAGCCAAGCCGCGUGAAGGACGAAGGUGCCAAGCAUUGUAAACUUCUUUUGUCAGGGAACAAAAUCAGGCACGAGAGCCUGACCGAGUGUACUUGAAGAAAAAGCAUCGGCUAACUCCGUGCCAGCAGCCGCGGUAAUACGGAGGAUGCGAGCGUUAUCCGGGUUUAUUGGGUUUAAGGGGUGCGUAGGCGGGCUGUUAAGUCAGAGGUAAAAGCCCGGGGCUCAACCCCGGCGAGCCGUUGAAACUGGCUGUCUUGAGAGGGGGAGAGGUAUGCGGAAUGCGCAGUGUAGCGGUGAAAUGCUUAGAUAUUGCGCAGAACUCCGAUUGCGAAGGCAGCAUACCGGCGGCGAUCUGACGCUGAGGCACGAAAGCGUGGGUAUCGAACAGGAUUAGAUACCCGGGUAGUC
rnacentral:rRNA from 1 species